rnacentral:lncRNA from 1 species
UUUGACCACAAGAGAUUGAUGACAAGGGCAAGGCGCGACGUGAAACGACGGCGUCGCUGUCUUGUUUAGCGCCGAUUGCACUUACCCCACGGAACGGUAACACAGUCGCAUGUGCCUUCCGUAAGAAUUUCGGUACAGUUUCCUGUCCAUUUCGGCUGCGAUUGUUCGAAGCUUUGAGAGAUAGGAGUGUCUACAUCUCUCUAACCUGGUGGGCGACAGAUUGCAACACCAGCGAGGAGCUUCGAUUCCUCCGAAAU